rnacentral:rRNA from 1 species
UACGAAGGGGGCUAGCGUUGCUCGGAAUCACUGGGCGUAAAGCGCACGUAGGCGGCUUUCUAAGUCAGGGGUGAAAUCCCGGAGCUCAACUCCGGAACUGCCUUUGAUACUGGCGACCUUGAGGCUGGAAGAGGUUAGUGGAAUUCCCAGUGUAGAGGUGAAAUUCGUAGAUAUUGGGAAGAACACCAGUGGCGAAGGCGGCUAACUGGUCCAGAUCUGACGCUGAGGUGCGAAAGCGUGGGGAGCAAACAGG